rnacentral:rRNA from 1 species
AGGACGAACGCUGGCGGCGUGCUUAACACAUGCAAGUCGAACGGAAAGGCCCUGCUUUGUGGGGUGCUCGAGUGGCGAACGGGUGAGUAACACGUGAGUAACCUGCCCUUGACUUUGGGAUAACUUCAGGAAACUGGGGCUAAUACCGGAUAGGAGCUCCUGCUGCAUGGUGGGGGUUGGAAAGUUUCGGCGGUUGGGGAUGGACUCGCGGCUUAUCAGCUUGUUGGUGGGGUAGUGGCUUACCAAGGCUUUGACGGGUAGCCGGCCUGAGAGGGUGACCGGCCACAUUGGGACUGAGAUACGGCCCAGACUCCUACGGGAGGCAGCAGUGGGGAAUAUUGCACAAUGGGCGGAAGCCUGAUGCAAGCAACGCCGCGUGCGGGAUGACGGCCUUCGGGUUGUAAACCGCUUUCGCCUGUGACGAAGCGUGAGUGACGGUAAUGGGUAAAGAAGCACCGGCUAACUACGUGCCAGCAGCCGC